rnacentral:rRNA from 1 species
AAGGACAUGUGGACAGUAUGGGAGUGAGAAUGUUGGCAUGAGUAGCGAGAUGUGGGUGAGAAUCCCACAGGCCGUAAACCCAAGGUUUCCAGGGGAAGGUUCGUCCGCCCUGGGUUAGUCGGGACCUAAGCUGAGGCCGAAAGGCGUAGGUGAUGGACAACAGGUUGAUAUUCCUGUACUACCGAUAACCGUUUGAGAGAAGGGAUGACACAGUAGGAUAAGCUAAGCACACUGUUGGUUAUGUGUGCCCAAGCAUUGAGGCAGUCAAAGUAGGCAAAUCCGCUUUGAUAAUGCUGGGAUGUGAUGGGGAGCGAAAUUUAGUAGCGAAGUAGCUGAUUUCACACUGUCAAGAAAAGUCUCUAUCGAGGUUAAAGGUACCCGUACCGCAAACCGACACAGGUGGGUGAGGAGAGUAUCCUAAGGCCAGCGAGAGAACUGUUGUUAAGGAACUCGGCAAAAUGACCCCGUAACUUAGGGAUAAGGGGUGCCACCAUCAGGUGGCCGCAGAGAAUAGGCCCAAGCGACUGUUUACCAAAAACAUAGGUUUCUGCUAAGUCGCAAGACGAUGUAUAGGAGCUGACGCCUGCCCGGUGCUGGAAGGUUAAGGGGAUCUGUUAGAGCAAUCGAAGCAGUGAACUUAAGCCCCAGUAAACGGCGGCCGUAACUAUAACGGUCCUAAGGUAGCGAAAUUCCUUGUCGGGUAAGUUCCGACCCGCACGAAAGGCGUAACGAUUUGGGCACUGUCUCAACAACAGACUCGGUGAAAUUGUAAUUCCGGUGAAGAUGCCGGAUACCUGCGACAGGACGGAAAGACCCCAUGGAGCUUUACUGUAGCUUGACAUUGGGUCUUGGUACUACAUGUACAGGAUAGGUGGGAGGCUUUGAAACCAGGACGCCAGUUUUGGCGGAGCCAUCCUUGGGAUACCACCCUUGUAGUACUGGGACUCUAACCAUAGGCCAUGAAUCUGGUCUUGGGACACUGUCAGGUGGGCAGUUUGACUGGGGCGGUCGCCUCCCAAAAGGUAACGGAGGCGCUCAAAGGUUCUCUCAGUACGGUCGGAAAUCGUACGUAGAGUGUAAAGGCAAAAGAGAGCUUGAUUGCAAGACAUACAGGUCGAGCAAGGAUGAAAAUCGGACUUAGUGAUCCGGUGGUUCUGCGUGGAAGGGCCAUCGCUCAACGGAUAAAAGCUACCCUGGGGAUAACAGGCUUAUCUCCCCCAAGAGUCCACAUCGACGGGGAGGUUUGGCACCUCGAUGUCGGCUCAUCACAUCCUGGGGCUGUAGUAGGUCCCAAGGGUUGGGCUGUUCGCCCAUUAAAGUGGUACGCGAGCUGGGUUCAGAACGUCGUGAGACAGUUCGGUCCCUAUCCGUCGCAGGCGUAGGAAAUUUGAGAAGACCUGUCCUUAGUACGAGAGGACCGGGAUGGACGUACCUCUGGUGUACCAGUUGUCCUGCCAAGGGCAUGGCUGGGUAGCUAUGUACGGAAUGGAUAAGCGCUGAAAGCAUCUAAGCGCGAAGCCAACUUCAAGAUAAGAUUUCCCACCGCAAGGGUAAGACCCCAGAAAGACUAUCUGGUUGA